UACGAAGGGAGCUAGCGUUGUUCGGAAUCACUGGGCGUAAAGCGCACGUAGGCGGAUGUGCCAGUCAGGGGUGAAAUCCCGGAGCUCAACUUCGGAACUGCCUCUGAUACAGCACGUCUUGAGUCCGAUAGAGGUGGGUGGAAUUCCUAGUGUAGAGGUGAAAUUCGUAGAUAUUAGGAAGAACACCGGUGGCGAAGGCGGCGAUCUGGACGAUGACUGACGCUGAGACGCGAAAGCGUGGGGAGCAAACAGG
rnacentral:rRNA from 1 species